rnacentral:rRNA from 1 species
UACGGGGGGGGUAAGCGUUGUUCGGAAUUACUGGGCGUAAAGGGCUCGUAGGCGGCCAACUAAGUCGGAUGUGAAAUCCCCAGGCUUAACCUGGGAACUGCAUCCGAUACUGGAUGGCUUGAAUUCGGGAGAGGGAUGCAGAAUUCCAGGUGUAGCGGUGAAAUGCGUAGAUAUCUGGAGGAAUACCGGUGGCGAAGGCGGCAUCCUGGACCGACAUUGACGCUGAGGAGCGAAAGCUAGGGGAGCAAACGGGG